rnacentral:misc_RNA from 1 species
GCAUCAGUAGUGGCUGUACCUGUUCAGUUUAGCUCAUCAUUCCUUGAGGAAAUUGCAAACUAUGUUGAUCCAGGCUUGCCUUUCAUAUCUCUUAGCAAGGGUUUAGAGCUAAACACAUUAAGAACGAUGUCUCAGAUAAUUCCCAAAGCACUGAAAAAUCCUCGCCAACCCUAUGUUGUUCUAUCUGGUCCUUCCUUCGCACUAGAGCUGAUGAAUAAACUACCAACAGCACUGGUAGUGGCUUCAAAAGACCAAAAGAUAGCAAAUUCCGUCCAGC